rnacentral:ncRNA from 2 species
CUGAACCACAAGGGGAGCCGCGGAUGCGGCUGAGAGUGGGCGUCCGGCGCCCAGACCCUUUGAACCUGUAAGGUCAUGCUUGCGCAGGGAUGUGGAUGGAAAACGAU